rnacentral:tRNA from 3 species
GGAGAGAUGGCAGAGCGGUUGAAUGCGGCGGUCUUGAAAACCGUUGGGCAUGCAAGUGUCCCGAGGGUUCGAAUCCCUCUCUCUCCGCCA